UACUCAAUUCAGAUUUUCAAUGGAAUCUCAUCAAGAUGCACACAUGCUUCACUUUAUCACAAAUCACAUAGUGUUCACAUAAUCAUACAAUUUUCAACAGAUGUUAUUCUUAUGAAUGAUCAAUUAACUAAGCACAAACAAAAUCAUGAAUUCAUGGAACCAAUCCUCACCAGAUAAAGUGUCUCACUAAAUCACUCAAGUUUUUCAAGAAGUCACUCCUUCCCUCUACUAUCUACAUGUCAUAUAGAACAAAGUUGUCAUUCAUUUACCACAAUCAAACAUCAUACAUACACAUGUCAUCACAAGGACUUUUUCAAGGCUUAUAACGUGGUUGGGCUAACAAGGAAAAUUGGUUUUUCUAGAUCACAAAAUCCUUGAGUUAAGAGAUUCAUUCAACCAUAACUCUCCUUUUACCACUCUCACUCAUUCCCAACUUUCCCUUUUCUUCUCAUCGAGCUUUUCUUUUCAUGCUUUUCUUUUUUCUAUCUUUUUCAUGCUUUUUCUCAUGCAUCUUCAUUCAACACAUUAGCUCGAUGUCUAACUUUUUUUUUUUCUUUUUCAACUUCCCAACAACCC
rnacentral:lncRNA from 1 species